UACGAGAGGCCCAAACGUUAUUCGGAUUUACUGGGCUUAAAGAGUUCGUAGGCGGUUCGACAAGUGAGGUGUGAAAUCCCUCGGCUUAACCGAGGAAUUGCGCUUCAAACUGUCGGGCUCGAGGGAGAUAGAGGUGAGCGGAACUGAUGGUGGAGCGGUGAAAUGCGUUGAUAUCAUCAGGAACACCAGAGGCGAAGGCGGCUCACUGGGUCUCUUCUGACGCUGAGGCACGAAAGCGUGGGGAGCAAACAGG
rnacentral:rRNA from 1 species